rnacentral:lncRNA from 1 species
AGUAGGAAGAGCUACAGUAUAUAUUUAAUUUACGGUAAAGAGGCAAGUAAAUUAGAGGAGGACAUAUAUUGCCAAAUGAGGGGACAGCUUUUUCAGAAAUGUGGCAUUAAAAAUGCACAGGCUUCCCUCUCCCUCUCCCUCUCCCUGCCCUCUCCCUCUCCCUCUCCCUGCCCUCUCCCUCUCCCUCUCCCCACGGUCUCCCUCUCCCUCUCUUUCCACAGUCUCCCUCUGAUGCCGAGCCGAAGCUGGACUGUACUGCUGCCAUCUCGGCUCACUGCAACCUCCCUGCCUGAUUCUCCUGCCUCAGCCUACCGAGUGCCUGCGACUGCAGGCGCGUGCCGCCACGCCUGACUGGUUUUCGUAUUUUUUUGGUGGAGACGGGGUUUCACCGUGUUGGCCGGGCUGGUCUCCAGCUCCUAACCGCGAGUGAUCUGCCAGCCUUGGCCUCCUGAGGUGCCGGGAUUGCAGAUGGAGUCUGGUUCACUCAGUGCUCAAUGGUGCCCAGGCUGGAGUGCAGUGGCGUGAUCUCGGCUGGCUACAACCUCCACCUCCCAGCCGCCUGCCUUGGCCUCCCAAAGUGCCGAGAUUGCAGCCUCUGCCCGGCCGCCACCCCGUCUGGGAAGUGAGGAGCGUCUCUGCCUGGCCGCCCAUCGUCUGGGAAGUGAGGAGCCCCUCUGCCUGGCUGCCCAGUCUGGAAAGUGAGGAGCAUCUCUGCCCGGCCGCCAUCCCAACUAGGAAGUGAGGAGCGCCUCUUCCCGGCCGCCAUCCCAUCUAGGAAGUGAGGAGCGUCUCUGCCCGGCCGCCCAUCGUCUGAGAUGUGGGGAGCGCCUCUGCCCCACCGCCCCAUCUGGGAUGUGAGGAGUGCCUCUACCCGGCCGCGACCCCGUCUGGGAGGUGAGGAGUGUCUCUGCCCGGCCGCCCUGUCUGAGAAGUGAGGAGACCCUCCACCUGGCAACCGCCCAGUCUGAGAAGUGAGGAGCCCCUCUGCCCGGCAGCCGCCCCGUCUGAGAAGUGAGGAGCCCCUCCGCCCGGCAGCCACCCCAUCUGGGAAGUGAGGAGCGUCUCCACCCAGCUGCCACCCCGUCCGGGAGGGAGGGACCUGACAAGCCUCCAGUCCAGCUCUGUUCCAAAGCCUUCCAGACUCCCUGAUGUCUGCAUUUGCAUGGAAUCCAAUCUUCUACACAACCCCCUCACCUCCAGCCCAGCCCUUUCUUCAAACCCCCAGCCUAGGUAAAUAGCAAAUAACCCUCAUUAACAUUUCCUAGAUGUUGUAUUCUGCUCUUUUCUGUUGUAUAAAACAUGAUACAAAAGACAGCCCAAAAAGAAACAA